AAAGCACAACCCGUGAUUACUUACUAUAUAACCUGUAGCUUCACGGUAGCUCAUAGCUAGCUAGCUACAAUAAUACAGCUGUGUCCCCGAGCGUCAGUUAUCAGAAGGUCAGACAGACAGACGAACCCAAAACAUGUCAGGGUUGCGGUGUCAUAUGUCGCUGCCCGUGUCGGUGGGGGUCUUGUUGGUGGGCCUCCCUUACUCCAUCUCUCUAGCUGCCCAGUGGCUUUACGGCUGGCCCAGCAAGCCGGGAUACAAGAAGUACAUAGAAGCUCUGAAACCACGACGAAUAUACUGUUUGACCAGAGCUGUGCUGGAGACUCUCAAAUACCUGCAAUAUGGGCGACUUUACUUUCAGUGGAAGUCAUGGUACAAGAAUGAGGAAAACCGCAAGCACUAUGAGAAGGGCAUCACAUUUGGCCGCAGAAACAACAAGCUGGACUUGUACCACCCUCCAAACGUGGACGGGUCAAAGGUGUGCCGGCGCCGCUGGUGGUGUUUCAUCUACGGGGGGAGCGUGGGGCUCCGGAGAUCGAUCCAUUUACUGUUUGAUGGCGAGGCAGAUGGCGAAAGAACUGAGUGCAACUGUCAUUUGUCCUGAUUACUUUGUCUAUCCGAAGGUAGGAGAACCAUACACUGUAGUCUGAGUAGUUUGAGCACACGAGUAUGAGUGACUGGAAAAUGAACGGUUUCUCAUAACUUUGUGAACAGGUAAGAAUUGUACUGCCGCUGUGGUGUCUGGACUGACUGCUCAUUCCAUCUGAUUGCUGAUACAGGCGAACGUUUUAGGCAUGAUCCAAGAUAUUGUGGACUGCCUCAUUUGGGCCCGAGAGAGUGGACAGAAGUUCAACUUUGAUAAAGACAACAUAGUAUUAAUCGGCCAUUCGGCAGGUGCUCAUUUGUGCACAUUGGCCGCGCUGUUUCUCAUUGACGGACGAGAGGAGCUUUUCAUAGAGGCAAGCAAGCAGGCGGACGUCACAGAGGCCAUAAGAGGAGUCAUUGGUCUGAGUGGCGUGUACAACAUCGUGGACCAUUACGAGCACGAGCAGAAGCGGGGAGUCGAGUACGUCUCCACCAUGCACAAAGCCAUGAAUGGAGUGGAGAACUUCCCGUACUACUCGCCGACACACUUACUGAAGAGGCUGAGCCGGGACAAGCUGGACAGAAUCCCUCCGUUUGCUCUGCUCCACGGGACCGACGACAUCAUCGUCCCCUUCGAUUCCUCCGCAAAGUUCUGCGACCUCCUCACCUCGCUGUCCGUGAAGGUGUCGCUCUACCUGCUCCCCCGCGUCGACCACACCGAGAUCGUCACCGACCUCAUGGUGCCCGACCGCCGCUUCUACCACCCCAUCUACAGCUGCAUCAAGCAGGAGCACAGGAAGCUGCUGGGGGCCUGGUGACGACCCGUCAGGAGAACACCCACCACUCGUCCAUCCAUCACUCGUAUUUACUGAUUGUGCCAUAUACUUGCUUUGUUUACGUCCCAUGCUCUAAUACCUCAACAUGAAUCGUGUUUAGCAUGGAUUUUUACUUGAUUGUGAUUCCGUGAUCAUGAUGUUUUUGAACAGAUUUUAAUUUGGUAAAUCUAAGGGUUACAUGUCAGUGAUUUUUCAUCUACAUUCUUUAAAAAUAAUAUUCCUUGUGGAAUGCAGUGUAGAUAACAUCAUUCUAAUGUUGUGUUGGAGAGAUGUUAGCUAGCUCACAGUAAAGGGAAAUCAAUCCAUAAGUGUUAUAAAAAGGACAGUGAAGCAGACUGAUACAUGCCGUGCAGUGAUACUGAUAAAGGAGCACAGUUACGACAGUACUGACUGCAACAUUUUGUCUAAUUGACUUUGGUGUUUUUAUUCAAUUAAAUUGUAAUAUAUUUUCCUGAAAAAAUAUUUAUUCAUCGUAGACACAUUAAACUCAUUCGAAUUAAACUAAUAUGACUACAAAUUGCUUGCACAAUGGAAUAUUGUACUUAAAUGUUUUGCCCAGCAAAAGCACUUAAAGAUUGUUAAUUGUACAAUUUUACAUUGUUUUUAACAUGUGCUUGUACUUUUGUUUCGGAAAGUUUUGUAUCAGAAGCGUGUCCCAUACAUACCAUACAUUUAAAAUGUCAUCAGGUAAUGGUUGUUGAAAACAUAAAUAUACUUUGUUGCAAUGUAUAAAACUCCAUUAAACCAUAUAAUGUAAGAGAACAUGCACAUCAUGAUUCCAUUCCAUGCAGUCACUGCAUAUGAGCGCCUAAUGGAAGUGAAAAUGGCCAUGGGACAUGUAACCAAAUAUUAGCACUGCUCUAUGUACUGUAUAUUUUUGACCCAGCAGAUGUUGUCACUUUUUCUGUUAUCCCAUAAUAAAGUCAUAAAAG
ensembl:lncRNA